UUUUUUUCUUCUUGCUGUUUUCAAAUUCUUUGAAACUUUUCAGGUAUCCCACAAAGAUUCAUUAUCAGGAAGUGACGAGGGCUUUAACAAUGAAGUACCCAAUCCUGAAGGACAGGGCGUGUAAUUCAACUGGAUAUGUACAGAUACAUGGAAGGGAAUCACAAUCAACGGCAUAUCGCGGAUAUGAAGCUGCUGCAGCCAGAAGGAACCCCGAUAUAGGGACUAUAAAUGACAAGAUGUAGAGAACACGUCAGCAUCGCAUGUUGUUCAUCCAAGGAAAUUCUGGUGGGGAUAUCCUUUCAGAAUACCCCCAUCCUUAAGUUGGAAAAUCAGCUUGUGAAAGAACUUGAAAGAGUUUAUAAGCAGCUUGCGGUAGCCCCAACACUUCAGAAUGUCAUCUAGAAGUCUGGGGAGAAAAUCCUUGAUUUCUGCAAGCCCCUUUCCUGUUUCGGUUUCGGAUCAAACAGCAGGCUGCCAAUCAGAAAAAUAGAGAAAGGUUUGUCAUUGCAUCUAUAGUACCCUAUCUUUACCAAUUCCCAUGUAUUACAAACAUCAUUUGACACGUCAGACCAUAGAAAUACACAUUUUAUCAAUCCUUUGUCAGUUACUAGAUCCUUUUAAAAAAAUGGGUCAUAAUAUUUUGGAAGUAAUAUUGUAAUUGAUGAUUAUAUACAUGUACAUAUAGAUACAUUAUGAAAUUUAAUAUUAUGGAUACAUUAAAGGAAAAUU